CCUACGGGCGGCAGCAGUGAGGAAUAUUGGUCAAUGGACGAGAGUCUGAACCAGCCAAGUAGCGUGAAGGAUGACUGCCCUAUGGGUUGUAAACUUCUUUUAUAUGGGAAUAAAAUGUUCCACGUGUGGGAUUUUGUAUGUACCAUAUGAAUAAGGAUCGGCUAACUCCGUGCCAGCAGCCGCGGUAAUACGGAGGAUCCGAGCGUUAUCCGGAUUUAUUGGGUUUAAAGGGAGCGUAGGUGGAUUGUUAAGUCAGUUGUGAAAGUUUGCGGCUCAACCGUAAAAUUGCAGUUGAAACUGGCAGUCUUGAGUACAGUAGAGGUGAGCGGAAUUCGUGGUGUAGAGGUGAAAUGCUUAGAUAUCACGAAGAACUCCGAUUGCGAAGGCAGUUCACUGGACUGCAACUGACACUGAGGCUCGAAAGUGUGGGUAUCAAACAGGAUUAGAUACCCCUGUAGUC
rnacentral:rRNA from 1 species